AUGCUGGAGGUAUCAGAAGUGCGAAUGCUGACAUAAGUAACGAUAAAGCGGGUGAAAAGCCCGCUCGCCGGAAGACCAAGGGUUCCUGUCCAACGUUAAUCGGGGCAGGGUGAGUCGACCCCUAAGGCGAGGCCGAAAGGCGUAGUCGAUGGGAAACAGGUUAAUAUUCCUGUACUUGGUGUUACUGCGAAGGGGGGACGGAGAAGGCUAUGUUGGCCGGGCGACGGUUGUCCCGGUUUAAGCGUGUAGGCUGGUUUUCCAGGCAAAUCCGGAAAAUCAAGGCUGAGGCGUGAUGACGAGGCACUACGGUGCUGAAGCAACAAAUGCCCUGCUUCCAGGAAAAGCCUCUAAGCAUCAGGUAACAUCAAAUCGUACCCCAAACCGACACAGGUGGUCAGGUAGAGAAUACCAAGGCGCUUGAGAGAACUCGGGUGAAGGAACUAGGCAAAAUGGUGCCGUAACUUCGGGAGAAGGCACGCUGAUAUGUAGGUGAAGUCCCUCGCGGAUGGAGCUGAAAUCAGUCGAAGAUACCAGCUGGCUGCAACUGUUUAUUAAAAACACAGCACUGUGCAAACACGAAAGUGGACGUAUACGGUGUGACGCCUGCCCGGUGCCGGAAGGUUAAUUGAUGGGGUUAGCGGUAACGCGAAGCUCUUGAUCGAAGCCCCGGUAAACGGCGGCCGUAACUAUAACGGUCCUAAGGUAGCGAAAUUCCUUGUCGGGUAAGUUCCGACCUGCACGAAUGGCGUAAUGAUGGCCAGGCUGUCUCCACCCGAGACUCAGUGAAAUUGAACUCGCUGUGAAGAUGCAGUGUACCCGCGGCAAGACGGAAAGACCCCGUGAACCUUUACUAUAGCUUGACACUGAACAUUGAGCCUUGAUGUGUAGGAUAGGUGGGAGGCUUUGAAGUGUGGACGCCAGUCUGCAUGGAGCCGACCUUGAAAUACCACCCUUUAAUGUUUGAUGUUCUAACGUUGGCCCCUGAUCGGGGUUGCGGACAGUGUCUGGUGGGUAGUUUGACUGGGGCGGUCUCCUCCUAAAGAGUAACGGAGGAGCACGAAGGUUGGCUAAUCCUGGUCGGACAUCAGGAGGUUAGUGCAAUGGCAUAAGCCAGCUUGACUGCGAGCGUGACGGCGCGAGCAGGUGCGAAAGCAGGUCAUAGUGAUCCGGUGGUUCUGAAUGGAAGGGCCAUCGCUCAACGGAUAAAAGGUACUCCGGGGAUAACAGGCUGAUACCGCCCAAGAGUUCAUAUCGACGGCGGUGUUUGGCACCUCGAUGUCGGCUCAUCACAUCCUGGGGCUGAAGUAGGUCCCAAGGGUAUGGCUGUUCGCCAUUUAAAGUGGUACGCGAGCUGGGUUUAGAACGUCGUGAGACAGUUCGGUCCCUAUCUGCCGUGGGCGCUGGAGAACUGAGGGGGGCUGCUCCUAGUACGAGAGGACCGGAGUGGACGCAUCACUGGUGUUCGGGUUGUCAUGCCAAUGGCACUGCCCGGUAGCUAAAUGCGGAAGAGAUAAGUGCUGAAAGCAUCUAAGCACGAAACUUGCCCCGAGAUGAGUUCUCCCUGACUCCCUGAGAGUCCUGAAGGAACGUUGAAGACGACGACGUUGAUAGGCCGGGUGUGUAAGCGCAGCGAUGCGUUGAGCUAACCGGUACUAAUGAACCGUGAGGCUUAACCUU
rnacentral:rRNA from 1 species